GAUGAACGCUGGCGGCGUGCCUAAUACAUGCAAGUCGAGCGAACAGACGAGGAGCUUGCUCCUCUGACGUUAGCGGCGAACGGGUGAGUAACACGUGGAUAACCUACCUAUAAGACUGGGAUAACUUCGGGAAACCGGAGCUAAUACCGGAUAAUAUAUUGAACCGCAUGGUUCAAUAGUGAAAGACGGUUUUGCUGUCACUUAUAGAUGGAUCCGCGCCGCAUUAGCUAGUUGGUGAGGUAACGGCUUACCAAGGCAACGAUGCGUAGCCGACCUGAGAGGGUGAUCGGCCACACUGGAACUGAGACACGGUCCAGACUCCUACGGGAGGCAGCAGUAGGGAAUCUUCCGCAAUGGGCGAAAGCUUGACGGAGCAACGCCGCGUGAGUGAUGAAGGUCUUCGGAUCGUAAAACUCUGUUAUUAGGGAAGAACAAAUGUGUAAGUAACUAUGCACGUCUUGACGGUACCUAAUCAGAAAGCCACGGCUAACUACGUG
rnacentral:rRNA from 1 species